UACGUAGGGUGCGAGCGUUGUCCGGAAUCACUGGGCGUAAAGGGCGCGUAGGCGGCCUGAUAAGUAGGGGGUGAAAUCCUGCGGCUUAACCGCAGGGCUGCCUUCUAAACUGUCAGGCUGGAGCACAGUAGAGGCAGGUGGAAUUCCCGGUGUAGCGGUGGAAUGCGUAGAGAUCGGGAAGAAUAUCAGUGGCGAAGGCGGCCUGCUGGGCUGUUGCUGACGCUGAGGCGCGACAGCGUGGGGAGCAAACAGG
rnacentral:rRNA from 1 species